CGCUGGAAGUGAGGUUAGUUUUUUGUGUCACUGCAGAUAUAAAAACUAACUCUGCAUCAGUCAGACGCAGCAAAGCUCACCGUCUGUAUGAGCGUGAGCAUCGGAAAGCUGAUCAAAUUGGCUGUAAAAUAAUUAAAACAAAAGUAAAAAUGCUCCUUUGCUUUUUAGAGUCAACAUCCAGAAGGCUGGAGCCGUGUUUCACUGACAGGCUGUCAGACUAAUGCCCUGAUGAGCUCAGCUGGGACAAACUGGUCUGAUGUUUAGGAACACAGAACGUUCAGAUGUUGGAGCUUCAUGUCACCUACUGAGGAAGGAGACCCACCAGUAAAGAGACGGUCUGGACCAGACCAAAAAUAUGGCGAUGACAUCAUGUAACUGGUCUCUGGAAAAGUUUUCCCUGAACCAACUCCGUUUCUAGAUGAGGUAGAGAAGAUCUGCAUCUCACCAACUCUCUGGUCUCAGUACUCAGACAACGGAGGUCUCCCACUGUUAUCCAGGACCAGUUUGAAGCCCACAUACUGCCCCUCCCUCAUCAUCAGGAAACAUCAAUCCGUAUCCUGAGGACAACAGAAGACGGCAGGAGGACAGGAACUCUGAGACCUAGAUACCACAGCACCGAGACACAAAGCACCUGUGUGCACAACGCCUGUUUAACUACUAAAACCUGUUUAUUAUAUUGUUCCACUUAUUUGCUGUGAGGUUAAUACUAAGAAAAUAUGUAUAUUAAUGUAAACAAUUAAAAAAAUCACUGAUUGUAUGUUUUCUUUUAGAUGUAAUGGUCCAAACUCAGCCUUGUAGACAUUUAUUGCAUCCUGUAGGUAAAUACACAGAACAGGCUCAGAUCCAGGAUGGCCCAGCAUGCUCUUCUUCCAUUCUGGCUGUUAGGGAUUGUAUCAAUAACUCAAUGCCUACUGAUGUUUCCACCUAACGGUAUUUAUUUAGAAUGCAGGUAAGAUUUAACUAUAUUUGUUAGCAAAGCAGACUGAUCUUGGGAAUUUCACUGCAGCACUGAUGUCCACCUCUGUGUACACAUUAGAGAAUUACCAUGU